rnacentral:lncRNA from 1 species
ACUCAAGCUCUCUUUCCUUUCUGGCUGUGCAGCCUUUUUGGAAUGACUCUCAUCAGGAACAGUCUUUGGCUGUGCUGCCUUUUUGGAUUGACUCUCAUCAGGUAUACUUUUUGGCUGUGCAGCCUUUUCAGAUCGACUCUCAUCAGGUAUACUCUUUGGCUGAGCAGCCUUUUCAGAAUGACUCUCAUCAGGUAUAGACCCACUUGGUGUUGGGGAAGCAACAACAGCAGAUUCAUCCUCAGUUGGUUUUGGUGCGGAAGAUUGAGCAUCUGUCUCUCGUUUAUUUUCAGAGGAUACAGCCCCAUCAACAGACAUAUUGUCACGCAAUGAACCAGCAU